rnacentral:misc_RNA from 1 species
GGAAGCAAUUCAAUGGUAUGAAAAAUUUACUUGAUCUGAAAGGAUUUGCUUGGGAUGAACUGAGACAGAUGAUAAUUGCUGAUGAUGAUCUCUGGAAUUCUUAUUUGAAGCCCUGGUCAUACUGCAAUAGAACUCUCCCAAAUUAUAAUGACUUGUUCUUGAUAUUUGGAGGUACAAACAAUAAUGCAAGACUCGACCAUUCAUGUCACUUAAUGGCUGCUGAUGACUAUGUUCUGGGACUAAAUUUUUGCGAGGAUGAUGGCCUAUCCCCUGUUGAUUUUGACCACCCUUCACAAGUAAAUUGGACAAAGACAAUGGAAGUCUAUUUCNNNNNNNNCUUCUGUUAGAGUGGGUGCUUAAGGGAAAUAAGAUUGGUCAGACAUUCAACGAGCAUGCAUGGUCCUGGAUAAUUGCCUUAUUUAAUGAAAAGUUUGGCCUCC